rnacentral:rRNA from 1 species
GCCAGCAGCCGCGGUAAUUCCAGCUCCAAUAGCGUAUAUUAAAGUUGUUGCAGUUAGAACGCUCGUAGUCGGAUUUCGGGGCGGUCCGACCGGUCUGCCGAUGGGUACGCACUGGUCGGAGCGUCCUUCCUGCCGGAGACCGUGCCUACUCUUAACUGAGCGGGGGCGGGAGACGGCACUUUUACUUUGAAAAAAUCAGAGUGUUUCAAGCAGGCAGCUCGCUCUUGCAUGGAUUAGCAUGGGAUAAUGAAAUAGGACUUUGGUGCUAUUUUGUUGGUUUCGAACACCGAAGUAAUGAUGAGAAGGGACAGUCAGGGGCACUCGUAUUCCGCCGAGAGAGGUGAAAUUCUCAGACCAGCGGAAGACGAACCACUGCGAAAGCAUUUGCCAGGGAUGUUUUCACUGAUCAAGAACGAAAGUUAGGGGAUCGAAGACGAUCAGAUACCGUCGUAGUCUUAACCAUAAACCAUGCCGACUAGGGAUUGGAGGAUGUUCACUGAUUGACUCCUUCAGCACCUUACGGGAAACUAAAGUCUUUGGGUUCCGGGGGGAGUAUGGUCGCAAGGCUGAAACUUAAAGGAAUUGACGGAAGGGCACCACCAGGUGUGGAGCCUGCGGCUUAAUUUGACUCAACACGGGGAAACUUACCAGGUCCAGACAUUGUGAGGAUUGACAGAUUGAGAGCUCUUUCUUGAUUUAAUGGGUGGUGGUGCAUGGCCGUUCUUAGUUGGUGGAGUGAUUUGUCUGGUUAAUUCCGUUAACGAACGAGACCUUAGCCUGCUAAAUAGUGACGCGAACUCUUUGUUCGCGGGCCACUUCUUAGAGGGACAACUUGUCUUCAACAAGUGGAAGUUUGAGGCAAUAACAGGUCUGUGAUGC